AGGGUAGGAGAAAGAAGGUUAGAAAAGACCUGUACCUCGCUUCCUAUCUGGAAGUCUGAGCAGGAGAGUUCUUCACAAGAGUCCUAGUUGGCAUCAUCACAGUAGAGUAGGAGCAACUGGGAUGCCUGUAUGGAGAAGCUGAGGCAAUCCCACCAACUUUUUGUAGCCCCGGAGAGUAAAAGCCCCUGAAAAGUAUAUAGCUGUAAAUUCCUAGAGUGAGCUAGGGGACCUGAAGAGGUCUCACAGUUGUAACAAGAGGAAACACCAGCAGAUGGCAGCAUGGACUAUACUGUACAACUGGGGACCACAGCCAUUUUAGUGAAGCCAACCAUCAAUAGGUGUUAAUAGCCUUCACAAAAGAUGCAAACAUGAACAGAACCCAACUGAGGGACUAAUCACAUUCUGCCAACACCAUGACCCUCUAGAAGAUUCCCAGAAUUUAUGUGCCUCUUUAAGGACAAACAGGUAAGGGAGUGAAGUCCUGAGUUGCCAUAAUUUAAACUUGAAGUAACUGGAUUUAUACAAGUGAAUAAAAUCCACCUGUUAUCACGUGGAACAAGAGGGGUGCAGAGGGGUUGCUGGAAAGGUAAAUAUUCAAAAACAAAGGAAAAUAUUACUAUAUUUUUAUUUCUUGCACUCAUGAGUAUAGCUUAAGAAAAUUAUACACUGGAAAUGUCUGCAUGGCAAAAAAAAAUUGUAAACAAAGUCAAAAGAUAAGUGAUCAAGUAAGAGCAAAUAAGGAACUUAUUUGCCAAACAAGGGGCUAAUUUCCUUGAUAUACAAAGAACACUUAGUACCAAGGAAAAGUUCAUUUUUAUUAGACAAAGAGAACUAUACAAUGACAACUGCAAUUCAUUCACCUGAAAUGUGCACCCCUUACUGGAAUUUUAUGAUGGGAUAAAAAGAGGGGGGAAAUGUGGUAAAAAAUUAAACCUUGAAUAAAGAAAAACUUACAAUUAACUGACAUAUUCAUUAUUGAAAAUGAGUUUAUUGGAUGAUUUGAAUCUAUGAUAUAUUAGUUAAAAUCUAGAUAGUCAAUCAUUCUGCCUUUUACCAUAUUGCAAUGUCACAGGAUCCACAUUAUCAGCUGCCCUUUCUUUCCACAGGCCCCUAGGAACUCUGAAUAUAGAUCACUCACUGUUCUCAGGAAUUUCCUCUCUAGUAAGGCUGACUAUAAAGCCAGACCCAUUCUAACUAGCCCUCCUUCACUUUUCUCCCCAUGUAUAAACAAUCCUAUGUUAAUGUUAAAGGCUUACCUUCAAAUUAAUUGUGGGAAGCAGACAAAAACUAACAUAAAGAGAACAGAACUAUCAAAGCCACUACUCCAUAUUCCAGGCUUCAGGGCACCAUUUCUAAGUGAGUAUUUUCAAUGUAGGAUAAUUACUACAUAUGAAAAAAAGUUUGUUUUAGUGUAUGUGGUGGCUUUCUUAUGUAUAUAGUAAACUUGGAAAUUAUAGAGAGGUAGAAGAAAGAAAAAGUGUCACUUGUAGUUCUCCCAUGUAACAUCACUACAGUCAACACUUUGCUUCAUUUUCUCUAGCCUACAGCACCUCAUUUUUAAAAAAUAUAUGUUUCCCAUUUUUAUAAUUUACAUUUUUACAUAACAACAAAGGUCUUUCCAGAGAACUUUAAACUUUCCUCAAGUAUCCUCUUUAAUGAUGCAGAAUGGAUAAUUUACUUGAAUAUUCUUCACUCUUAUGACAGGUUAUUUCUAGUUCUGACUUGCUGAAAGUAUUGCAGAAAUUGAUACUUUUGUAACAGAUUUGAGCAUUUUUUUUUCUGGAACUGAAAGUUCUUCAGGAGAGUUGCCCAACGGAGGAACUGUUAGAUUAGAAGCAUGUACAUUUUUAAAGCUCUUGAUUUAUUCUGCAAAACUUUCUUUCCUCAAGUGUUCAACCUAUCUGUCACUGAAAAUGCACAAGAGUAUUGGCAGUUCGAUGUCACUCUCAGUCGCACUGGGCGUCUCCUUUUGUUUUAAUAUUUUGGUGUUCAAGUUAGAAAGAGAGCCAAACGCUAAUAUGCUUGUUCAUCCUCAAGUUUCUCUUGUGCUUUAAAAAAAGCACCAGUGAUUACCACCGCGCCCAAACAUCAAUUAAUGCCUGAUGAUGAUUAUGAUGUUGAUGUAGUCAGAACAGAGGAGCCCUUGAUUAUUCUCCAUCUCUGUGUCAGAUCUUCAGUGUAUAUCUAAAUAUAACCCCAGAUCAUCCAUUUGGACUGAAUUGCUUUAUAAUCAGUAAAACUGAAUUUUCCCCCUGAAUUUACUGAAACUUUUUGUCUCACAUAGGAGUCAUAGCCUAAAGGUUAUGAAGAUUCUAGCCUUCUCUGCUUGUAUAAAUUAAUAAUACCAGGAUCAACAUUUCCUUCUAUUUAUUUAUAUUUAAAGCACCUGACAUGAGAAUUUAGGGGAUUCAGCCAGAUUUAAUCCUUUAUUUCAAUAGUUUACAUUUCUUUACUUUUACUAUUUUUUUUUCUUUUUCUAUAGCACUCACUUUGUGGUUUUUAUUAUGUUAUGGCUGGAUUUUAUGAUAUUAAUGGCCAGAUUCCAGCUGAUUGGUUAGAAGGGGGGAGAGGUAGUGAUGACAGAUAAAGAUGAGAUCUGCAGGGCUUGAAAUCCUGUUCUCAGCAAUUUUUUCUCUUUUCUCCUGGGAUCCAUUGUAAGACAGCGUCAUUUCAUAAAGUGUCAGGUAAUUGUUAACACUAGAAAUAUGUACUUAAAUUUUCAAAGAACUAGAAUAAAUAUUCAAUCCAUACAGACAUAAUUAGAAUGAUACAUUUUAUGUCUACCCAAUUCCCUUGGAUACAUUUGCUCUAUUUCCCAAUAGAACAGAAAACACAUCCUAUGAAAUCUGUCAGGGAGUUGCCAAAGGACAUUCUGCUGCUUCCUUUAAAAGCACUGAACUUAAGAGAAGCGUAUAGCUGUCCGUAACUCAAAGGAUUCCUUGUUCAAAGACUAAUGGCACCGCGGCUGCACAUUAUCGUGAUUUUCUUUCAUAACAGAGGAUUCAAAGGUAUUAAAGAGGCCUCAGUAAAUUAGCAUGCUUUUAUGAUCAAUUUUAAUUAAUCAUUUGAGUAAGACAAUGUGCCACUACAUACAUCAUAUGGAGGAAUUUAUCACAGUGUCACUUGCUUAUAAUAAAAAAUAACCCUUAUUAUCAUAAAAGCUCCUUAAAAUGGAGGAGGAAAAGACAUUAAAAGUGGCAGGAUAGAGAAAAGAAAGGAAAAGGGAUGGAAAGAAAAUAGAUAAUAAAGACAGAGAAGCAUUGUAAUAUUUAAAUGCUAACAGUGAGUCUAUCUUUGUUAACUUAUCGUGUUUGGCAGUACAAAUGAACAACAGAGUAGGGAAAGGCACGAUAUGUUAAAUUAUUAUGGGUAUGUCAGAUAAGCAUUUUGUCUGAUGUUUCCAUCUCUGCUGGAAGGCUGGCUUAAAACUGUGUGACCUAUUCUCCAGGGAGUCAAAGAUAAACACCAGCAAUUGUGUAAUUCCUCCCACUCUGAUAAAGAUAAAUAUGUUCAUAUUUUUCCCAGCUAAUCCUCCUUGUUGGAUGAUAACAUAAGGCUGCAUCCAUGUGACAUACAGAGAUUCAAGAUAUCUGCACAAGCAUCCAGCUAUCUGUAAUACUGUCUGCCCACUAGGUCAUCUUGUUAUCAGGGACCCUUUCAGAUUAAACAAGUUUGUGGUAAAUUAAUGCAAAAAUAAAUCUAUAAAUCUGAAUCUAAGGCAGUGG